rnacentral:rRNA from 1 species
UACGGAGGAUGCGAGCGUUAUCCGGAUUUAUUGGGUUUAAAGGGUGCGUAGGCGGGUUAUCAAUUCAGCGGUAAAAUCGUGGAGCUCAACUCCAUCCAGCCGUUGAAACUGAUGAUCUUGAGUGGGCGAGAAGUAUGCGGAAUGCGUGGUGUAGCGGUGAAAUGCAUAGAUAUCACGCAGAACUCCGAUUGCGAAGGCAGCAUACCGGCGCCCGACUGACGCUGAAGCACGAAAGCGUGGGUAUCGAACAGG